GCCGGUGUAGCUUAACAGCAAAGCAACGGUUUUGUAAACCGUAGAGUGUCGGUGCAACUCCGACCAUCGGCU
rnacentral:tRNA from 1 species